UUCAUUGUUCCUCACUGGUUCCUCCCUGGUUCCUCCUCUUUGCAUCCCUGUUGCUACCUGGCUCCAUGUCCAUGUCCCUGUUCUGGCUUACCCAUGGUGUGACUGGAAGGUACAGCCGCAACAUGGGUUUCUCGUUCAGCCCAAUCCCCAUGGCUUCUUAAGGAGCAGGAACCUGGAGGGAGUCGUCAGCCUGUUGCCUCUGCCAGCGUGAUCUGAUCACUUGGUGACAGUGUCCUGGAUUCCAAGCUCUUGUUCUCUCAAUGCUCCGGCGAGUUCUGGAAAAUACUCCCUGCCGCUCCAACCAAUAGCCUCCCUUCCUUUCUUACCUCCAGUCCGGCAGCUCUGAGAUCACCUUAUGGAAACACCGAACCAUUGCUCACCUACCUGUCCAACCUCCAGCACCAUGUACUCAGCUGAAGCACUGGCACUUAACGAUCACAAAGAGAGAACGUCAGCACUGUGAAACUCCGUGGUACUCCUGCCAAACUCAGCCUCUGUGGGGCAGAUUUACCACCUCCAACAAGCCAUCAUCCACAACCAACAGUAAACUACCUCAACCGUAUCCUGCUCUACUCUCCAUAACAUCCUCCGAAAAACAAUAACCUCUCUCCUAUACUUCUCAGUACCAAUCCAGAUCCCUCCAGCAGCUCCAGUCCGUAUUUUACCUUGUUUUGUACAUAUUCCAAAUGAACUGUUAAACUGCUGUUGAGUUUCCGUAAUUGUGUCCACACUCAGUCGGUAAAGCCAACAUUAUGAUACUACCUGGAUCCCUCUCCUUCUCUCUGCUUCUUCUCUGUCAGCCCUCCCGUUAACUGCUGUCAGAAUCCUAGAACCAGAGUCUUAUCCUAAUCCAUGUCAGCUGUGUACUUAUUUUUGCAUUUAACUGAAUUUACUUAAUUUUGUAUUUAAUUUAGCCAAAAUGUGUGUUUUUGACUUGAGUGUCAUUUCUAGUAAGGUACUUCAAAUUGACAGCCAUAUGAUUAUUGAUAAAACGUUUGCAUACAUGUAGUAUGCAUCAAUGCCAUGCCAUAACGAUGAAGUAAUUAAUGGAAAAAGAAGCUGUUCUAUACUGAGAGCAAAUGAACAUACCUUUUCAGAAGCCUGACAUUUCUUUUUAAAAUAGAAUUUGUUCAUUGAUCUAAUAUAAUAUUUGUAAUUUUCUGAGACAUUUAAUUUUGGGUUUUCAUUACCUGUAAGCCAUAAUUAUCAAAAUUACAAGAAGUAAAUAUUAAAUAUUUCACCCCAUGUGUAAUAAAUCUAUAUAUUGAGUUUCCCUUGAGUAACAAAAACAUUGAACAUUUUCAUAACAUUCUUUUUUUUUUUUUUUUUUUUAGAUACACCUGUACAUGCCUAUCUCCUCCACUGUUAGCACUUUGGGACACUUUUAUGUAGACAGACGGCUUGCUUUUCAUGUAGGUUUCAUCUACAGGUCCUUCUCAAAAUAUUAGCAUAUUGUGAUAAAGUUAAUUAUUUUCCAUAAUGUAAUGAUGAAAAUUUAACAUUCAUAUAUUUUAGCUUCAUUGCACACUAACUGAAAUAUUUC